rnacentral:misc_RNA from 1 species
AAGUUCCGCUCCUGUUGAAACUGCCUUACCAGCUUCCGACAGUGCAACACCUAGUGUCCAAGUAAUACUUCCGGAACCAAUGGUUACUUGACUAUCAGUAAUGUGCAAGCCUUCUCUCAGCAAAGAGACAAUAUAUGGUGCCCUGAAGCAAUACUGUUCUAUGAAAGGCUGAGGUGCAACACUAGUCUUUGCAACAUCCCAAGUCUUAUCACAAAAUUCCCGACCCUUUUCUAAUACAUCAUCUAGUGCAGCAUCAGGGGUCAAGUUGAAAAAACGAUAUACCACAAAGAAACCAGACAUAGCAUAGAACUGCCCAAAGGGACGAGGAAGAUUUUCUGCAAGAGCACAGGGCUGCAACUCACAAUCAAUUCCUGAACUUUUGUUAGACCAUUCGGAAAUAUUAACAGCAAAUUUUGCAAGUGAACUGCAUUCUUCCCAUUUUGGAGCUCCAACAAGUUGAACACGAACUCCAG